rnacentral:rRNA from 1 species
GACGAACGCUGGCGGCGUGCUUAACACAUGCAAGUCGAACGAAGUGGCGAACGGGUGAGUAACGCGUAAUCAACCUGCCCUUCAGAGGGGGACAACAGUUGGAAACGACUGCUAAUACCGCAUAAUGCAGGAGGGGAUUGCGUCUGAUUAGCUAGUUGGAGGUGUAACCGCCCACACAGGCGAUGAUCAGUAGCCGGUCUGAGAGGAUGAACGGGCACAUUGGGACUGAGAAACGGCCCAGAAUUCUACGGGAGGCAGCAGUUGGGAAUCUUCCGAAAUUGAGGAAAGUCUGACGGAGCAAAGCCGCGUGAUUGAUGACGGGCUUCGGGUUGUAAAGCUCUGUUAAUCGGGACGCGGUACCGGAAUAGAAAGCCACGGCUAACUACGUGCCAGCAGCCGCGGUAAUUC